GUAGGUGGCAAGCGUUGUCCGGAAUUAUUGGGCGUAAAGCGCGCGCAGGCGGUCCUUUAAGUCUGAUGUGAAAGCCCACGGCUCAACCGUGGAGGGUCAUUGGAAACUGGGGGACUUGAGUACAGAAGAGGAAAGCGGAAUUCCAAGUGUAGCGGUGAAAUGCGUAGAGAUUUGGAGGAACACCAGUGGCGAAGGCGGCUUUCUGGUCUGUAACUGACGCUGAGGCGCGAAAGCGUGGGGAGCAAACAGGAUUAGAUACCCUGGUAGUCCACGCCGUAAACGAUGAGUGCUAAGUGUUAGGGGGGUUUCCCGCCCCCCUUAUGCUGCAGCUAACGCAUUAAGCACUCCGCCUGGGGAGUACGGCCGCAAGGCUG
rnacentral:rRNA from 1 species